CCUACGUGAGGCAGCAGUGAGGAAUAUUGGUCAAUGGGCGAGAGCCUGAACCAGCCAAGUCGCGUGAGGGAGUACUGCCCUAUGGGUUGUAAACCUCUUUUGUCGGGGAGCAAAAGCCGGACGUGUCCGGCUGUGAUAGUACCCGAAGAAAAAGCAUCGGCUAACUCCGUUCCAGCAGCCGCGGUAAUACGGAGGAUGCGAGCGUUAUCCGGGUUUAUUGGGUUUAAAGGGUGCGCAGGCGGAUUUUUAAGUCAGCGGUCAAAUCGUGGGGAUCAACCCCAUCUAGCCGUGGAAACUGGGGGUCGAGAGUGUGCGAGAGGUAUGCGGAAUGCGUGGUGUAGCGGUGAAAUGCAUAGAUAUCACGCAGAACCCCGAUUGCGAAGGCAGCAUACCGGUGCACAACUGACGCUCAGGCACGAAAGCGUGGGUAUCGAACAGGAUUAGAUACCCUAGUAGUC
rnacentral:rRNA from 1 species